rnacentral:rRNA from 1 species
UGAACGCUGGCGCGUGCUUAACACAUGCAAGUCGAGCGAAGCACUUAAGUGGAUCUCUUCGGAUUGAAACUUAUUUGACUGAGCGGCGGACGGGUGAGUAACGCGUGGGUAACCUGCCUCAUACAGGGGGAUAACAGUUAGAAAUGGCUGCUAAUACCGCAUAAGCGCACAGGGACCGCAUGGUCUGGUGUGAAAAACUCCGGUGGUAUGAGAUGGACCCGCGUCUGAUUAGCUAGUUGGAGGGGUAACGGCCCACCAAGGCGACGAUCAGUAGCCGGCCUGAGAGGGUGAACGGCCACAUUGGGACUGAGACACGGCCCAGACUCCUACGGGAGGCAGCAGUGGGGAAUAUUGCACAAUGGGGGAAACCCUGAUGCAGCGACGCCGCGUGAAGGAAGAAGUAUCUCGGUAUGUAAACUUCUAUCAGCAGGGAAGAAAAUGACGGUACCUGACUAAGAAGCCCCGGCUAACUACGUGCCAGCAGCCGCGGUAAUACGUAGGGGGCAAGCGUUAUCCGGAUUUACUGGGUGUAAAGGGAGCGUAGACGGAAGAGCAAGUCUGAUGUGAAAGGCUGGGGCUUAACCCCAGGACUGCAUUGGAAACUGUUUUUCUAGAGUGCCGGAGAGGUAAGCGGAAUUCCUAGUGUAGCGGUGAAAUGCGUAGAUAUUAGGAGGAACACCAGUGGCGAAGGCGGCUUACUGGACGGUAACUGACGUUGAGGCUCG